AUUGAACGCUGGCGGCAGGCCUAACACAUGCAAGUCGAACGGUAACAGGAAGCAGCUUGCUGCUUCGCUGACGAGUGGCGGACGGGUGAGUCAUGUCUGGGAAGCUGCCUGAUGGAGGGGGAUAACUACUGGAAACGGUAGCUAAUACCGCAGAAUGUCGCAAGACCAAAGAGGGGGACCUUCGGGCCUCUUGUCAUCGGAUGCGCCCAGAUGGGAUUAGUUUGUUGGUGGGGUAACGGCUCACCAAGGCGACGAUCCCUAGCUGGUCUGAGAGGAUGACAAGCCACACUGGAACUGGGACACGGUCAAGACUCCUACGGGAGGCAGCAGUGGGGAAUAUUGCGCAAUGGGCGCAAGCCUGAUGCAGCCAUGCCGAGUGUAUGAAGAAGGCCUUCGGGUUGUAAAGUACUUUCAGCGGGGAGGAAGGGAGUAAAGUUAAUACCUUUGCUCAUUGACGUUACCCGCAGAAGAAGCACCGGCUAACUCCGUG
rnacentral:rRNA from 1 species